CCGCGUCCAAGCAGUUAGGCUGGGAAAUAGGCAAAUCCGUUUCCCAUAAGGCUGAGCUGUGAUGGCGAGCGAAAUAUAGUAGCGAAGUUCCUGAUUCCACACUGCCAAGAAAAGCCUCUAGCGAGGUGAGAGGUGCCCGUACCGCAAACCGACACAGGUAGGCGAGGAGAGAAUCCUAAGGUGAUCGAGAGAACUCUCGUUAAGGAACUCGGCAAAAUGACCCCGUAACUUCGGGAGAAGGGGUGCUCUGUUAGGGUGCAAGCCCGAGAGAGCCGCAGUGAAUAGGCCCAGGCGACUGUUUAGCAAAAACACAGGUCUCUGCGAAGCCGUAAGGCGAAGUAUAGGGGCUGACGCCUGCCCGGUGCUGGAAGGUUAAGAGGAGCGCUUAGCGUAAGCGAAGGUGCGAAUUGAAGCCCCAGUAAACGGCGGCCGUAACUAUAACGGUCCUAAGGUAGCGAAAUUCCUUGUCGGGUAAGUUCCGACCCGCACGAAAGGCGCGACGAUCUGGGCACUGUCUCAACGAGAGACUCGGUGAAAUUAUAGUACCUGUGAAGAUGCAGGUUACCCGCGACAGGACGGAAAGACCCCGUGGAGCUUUACUGCAGCCUGAUAUUGAAUGUUGGUACAGCUUGUACAGGAUAGGUAGGAGCCUUGGAAACCGGAGCGCCAGCUUUGGUGGAGGCAUCGGUGGGAUACUACCCUGGCUGUAUUGACCUUCUAACCCGCCGCCCUUAUCGGGCGGGGAGACAGUGUCAGGUGGGCAGUUUGACUGGGGCGGUCGCCUCCUAAAAGGUAACGGAGGCGCCCAAAGGUUCCCUCAGAAUGGUUGGAAAUCAUUCGCAGAGUGUUAAGGCACAAGGGAGCUUGACUGCGAGACCUACAAGUCGAGCAGGGACGAAAGUCGGGCUUAGUGAUCCGGUGGUUCCGCAUGGAAGGGCCAUCACUCAACGGAUAAAAGCUACCCCGGGGAUAACAGGCUUAUCUCCCCCAAGAGUCCACAUCGACGGGGAGGUUUGGCACCUCGAUGUCGGCUCAUCGCAUCCUGGGGCUGUAGUCGGUCCCAAGGGUUGGGCCGUUCGCCCAUUAAAGCGGUACGCGAGCUGGGUUCAGAACGUCGUGAGACAGUUCGGUCCCUAUCCGUCGCGGGCGCAGGAAAUUUGAGAGGAGCUGUCCUUAGUACGUGAGGACCGGGAUGGACGCACCGCUGGUGUACCAGUUGUUCUGCCAAGGGCAUCGCUGGGUAGCUAUGUGCGGACGGGAUAAGUGCUGAAAGCAUCUAAGCAUGAAGCCCCCCUCAAGAUGAGAUUUCCCAUUCCGCAAGGAAGUAAGAUCCCUGAAAGAUGAUCAGGUUGAUAGGUCUGAGGUGGAAGUGUGGCGACACAUGGAGCUGACAGAUACUAAUCGAUCGAGGACUU
rnacentral:rRNA from 1 species